UACGUAGGGUGCGAGCGUUAAUCGGAAUUACUGGGCGUAAAGCGUGCGCAGGCGGCUAUUUAAGUCAGGUGUGAAAGCCCUGGGCUUAACCUAGGAAUUGCGCUUGAGACUGGAUAGCUUGGAGUGCGGCAGAGGGAGGUGGAAUUCCACGUGUAGCAGUGAAAUGCGUAGAGAUGUGGAGGAACACCGAUGGCGAAGGCAGCCUCCUGGGCCAGCACUGACGCUCAUGCACGAAAGCGUGGGGAGCAAACAGG
rnacentral:rRNA from 1 species